rnacentral:hammerhead_ribozyme from 1 species
AUCCAGCUGACGAGUCCCAAAUAGAACGAAACGCGGGUCAAACUGGAU